UACGUAGGGGGCAAGCGUUGUCCGGAAUCAUUGGGCGUAAAGAGCUCGUAGGCGGUCUGUCGCGUCGGCUGUGAAAUCCCGAGGCUCAACCUCGGGUCUGCAGUCGAUACGGGCAAACUAGAGUAUUGCAGGGGAGACUGGAAUUCCUGGUGUAGCGGUGAAAUGCGCAGAUAUCAGGAGGAACACCGGUGGCGAAGGCGGGUUUCUGGGCAAUAACUGACGCUGAGGAGCGAAAGCGUGGGGAGCGAACAGG
rnacentral:rRNA from 1 species